rnacentral:rRNA from 1 species
AUUGAACGCUGGCGGCAUGCCUAACACAUGCAAGUCGAACGGCAGCACGGGUGCUUGCUGCUGUUGGCGAGUGGCGAACGGGUGAGUAAUACAUCGGCACCGGACCCUUAGCUUUGGAUAGGCCUGCGGAAGCCGGACUAAUACCGCAAACGAACUCCGGAUAAAAGCGGGGGCCCUGCAGGCUUGGCGCUUGCGGGUUUGCAGGUGCCGGAUUAGCUAGUGGGUGGUGUAAAGGCCUACCAAGGCGACGAUCAGUAGCUGGUCUGAGAGGACGAGCAGCCACACUGGGACUGAGACACGGCCCAGACUCCUACGGGAGGCAGCAGUGGGGAAUGUUGGACAAUGGGCGAAAGCCUGAUCCAGCAAUGCCGCGUGUGUGAAGAAGGCCUUCGGGUUGUAAAGCCCUUUUGUCCGGAAAGAAAUGCUUCGCCCUAAUACGGUGCGGGGCUGACGGUACCAGAAGAAUAAGCACCGGCUAACUACGUG